GAUGAACGCUGGCGGCGUGCCUAAUACAUGCAAGUCGAACGCUGGAACUCUAGCUUGCUGGAUUGAAGGAGUGGCGAACGGGUGAGUAAUACAUAAGCAACCUACCCACGAAGACUGGGAUAAUCUCUGGAAACGGGGACUAAUACCGGAUAGGUAAUCGGAAGGCAUCUUCUGAUUAUUAAAUGUUAAAAACACUGGUGGAUGGGCUUAUGGCGCAUUAGUUAGUUGGUGAGGUAACGGCCCACCAAGACGAUGAUGCGUAGCCGGCCUGAGAGGGUGAACGGCCACAGGGGGACCGAGACACGGCCGAGACUCCUACGGGAGGGAGCAGUAGGGAAGGUUCGGCAAUGGGGGAAAGCCUGACCGAGCGACGCCGCGUGAGUGAGGGCGGCCUGCGGGGUGUAAAGCUCUGUUGUAAGGGAAGAACGGUAGAUAGAGAAUAUCUAAAUGACGGUACCGGACCAGAAAGCCACGGCUAACUACGUG
rnacentral:rRNA from 1 species